rnacentral:rRNA from 1 species
UGGGGAAUUGUUCGCAAUGGGCGCAAGCCUGACGACGCAACGCCGCGUGGAGGACGAAGAUCUUCGGGUCGUAAACUCCUGUCGAGUGGGAAGAACGCUUCGCGGGUGAAUAAUCCGCGGAAUUGACGGUACCACUAAAGGAAGCCCCGGCUAACUCCGUGCCAGCAGCCGCGGUAAUACGGGGGGGGCAAGCGUUGUUCGGAAUUACUGGGCGUAAAGGGCUCGUAGGCGGCCAACUAAGUCGGAUGUGAAAUCCCCAGGCUUAACCUGGGAACUGCAUCCGAUACUGGAUGGCUUGAAUUCGGGAGAGGGAUGCAGAAUUCCAGGUGUAGCGGUGAAAUGCGUAGAUAUCUGGAGGAAUACCGGUGGCGAAGGCGGCAUCCUGGACCGACAUUGACGCUGAGGAGCGAAAGCCAGGGGAGCAAACGGG